CGAAUAUCUGAGUAAAUUCGUUCAAGUGCUGCCAGCAUAAUCUCCGGUUUUAUCUCCGAAUAUCUGAGUAAAUUCGUUCAAGUGCUGCCAGCAUAAUCUCCGGUUUUAUCUCCGAAUAUCUGAGUAAAG